rnacentral:rRNA from 1 species
UACUCGAGUGGCGAACGGGUGAGUAACACGUGAGUAACCUGCCCUUGACUUCGGGAUAACUUCAGGAAACUGGGGCUAAUACCGGAUAGGAAUCCUUGCUGCAUGGUGGGGGUUGGGAAAGCUUCGGCGGUUUGGAUGGACUCGCGGCUUAUCAGCUUGUUGGUGGGGUAGUGGCUUACCAAGGCUUUGACGGGUAGCCGGCCUGAGAGGGCGACCGGCCACAUUGGGACUGAGAUACGGCCCAG